rnacentral:rRNA from 1 species
GAUCCUGCUCAGGAUGAACGCUGGCGGCGCGCCUAACACAUGCAAGUCGAACGGCACCUGCCCUCGGGCAGAAGCGAGUGGCGAACGGCUGAGUAACACGUGGAGAACCUGCCCCCUCCCCCGGGAUAGCCGCCCGAAAGGACGGGUAAUACCGGAUACCCCGGGGUGCCGCAUGGCACCCCGGCUAAAGCCCCGACGGGAGGGGAUGGCUCCGCGGCCCAUCAGGUAGACGGCGGGGUGACGGCCCACCGUGCCGACAACGGGUAGCCGGGUUG